rnacentral:rRNA from 1 species
UUAGAUACCCCACUAUGCUCAACCGUAAACUUUAAACUACACCGAUAUCGCCCGGGAACUACGAGCAAAGCUUAAAACCCAAAGGACUUGACGGUACCCCACAUCCACCUAGAGGAGCCUGUCCUGUAAUCGACAACCCCCGUUCAACCUCACCAUUUUUAGCCCAUCAGCCUGUAUACCUCCGUCGUCAGCUUACCACGUGAGCGCCCCUAAGUGAGCCUAAUGCCCGUACGCCAACACGUCAGGUCAAGGUGCAGCAAAUAAAAUGGGAAGAGAUGGGCUACACUCUCUAGCAUAGAAAAUACGAAAGACUAUUUAUGAAACCUGGUCAGAAGGCGGAUUUAGUAGUAAAAAGAGACAAGAGCGCUCUUUUUAACACGGCACUGGGGUGUGUACACACCGCCCGUCACCCUCUUCAGAGCUAACAGAAAGUUCUUAACAUACCUAAGCGCAAUAGAAGAGGCAAGUCGUAACAUGGUAAGUAUACCGGAAGGUGUGCUUGGAAA